UACGUAGGGUGCAAGCGUUGUCCGGAAUUACUGGGCGUAAAGAGCUCGUAGGUGGUUUGUCGCGUUGUCCGUGAAAACUCACAACUCUAUUGUGGGCGUGCGGGCGAUACGGGCAGACUGGAGUACUGCAGGGGAGACUGGAAUUCCUGGUGUAGCGGUGGAAUGCGCAGAUAUCAGGAGGAACACCGGUGGCGAAGGCGGGUCUCUGGGCAGUAACUGACGCUGAGGAGCGAAAGCGUGGGGAGCGAACAGG
rnacentral:rRNA from 1 species